rnacentral:lncRNA from 1 species
CUGCGAUGUUUUAAAAGAGGCUCCUUAGGAGUGGUUCCUGGAAAUGGGAGGGUGGUGAUUGCACCAGUCAGAGCUGCUAUGGGAGCUGGAGUGACAUCUGGAGAUGAUUCCCUUUCCUCCUCUCCUCUGCAGUGCAGGAGUGUGUGACCUUCUUCAUCAAACGUAGAUGUACCAGCUAGUCACGUGCCACUAAUGCUGAAUGAAUCUGGGAAGGAAGAAGUGCUGGCCUGUCAACUCUCAUUAAAAAAACGAAUAGGAAGAGGACCAAGUGCUGGCUGUCCAUGUGCAUGGAUGUGUGCUGCAGAUCCUGGGGAAGCAGAACGCUUUUGCCUUCAUUUUGGCUCUGUUGAGGUCUGACACAAGAGGCAGAGGUGAGCAUGCUGAAUAUGGGCAAGAUGCCCUCAAAUCUGCCUCUGCUUCCCUCCCUCAGUGUGCAUCUUGUGCAAGGCAAGUGGGCUGCAAGCAUUGUUUGAGGGUAAACAGGUAGAGGAUGUUGAUGAUUUCAGUAAGUGUACAAACUGCUUUUCAAGUAUGCUUAUAUUAGGGCCAUACUGUGUAAUAUCCACAAGCUCUGGUCUAAUUUAGCUUCAUGGCAGUAGCUUGAGUGAAUAGUGUUCACCCGGAAUG